GACGAACGCUGGCGGCGUGCUUAACACAUGCAAGUCGAACGAAGUGGCGAACGGGUGAGUAACACAUAAUCAACCUGCCCUUCAACGGGGGACAACAGUUGGAAACGACUGCUAAUCCCGCAUACUGUAGGAGGGGAUUGCGUCUGAUUAGCUAGUUGGAUGGGUAACGGCCCACCAAGGCGAUGAUCGGUAGGCGGUCUGAGGGGAGGAACGGCCAAAUUGGGACUGAGACAAGGCCCAGAAUCCUACGGGGGGGAGCAGUGGGGAAUUUUCCGCAAUGGAAGAAAGGCUGACGGAGCAACGCCGGGGGAGUGAUGACGGCCUUCGGGUUGGAAAGCUCUGUUAAUCGGGACGCGGUACCGGAAUAGAAAGCCACGGCUAACUACGUGCCAGCAGCCGCGGUAAUAC
rnacentral:rRNA from 1 species